AUGACGGUGUUCCGGGGCCCGCCCGGCCGGCCCUCGGCGCUCGUGAGCUGGUGGAGGAGGCGCCCGCCGCUGGGCUUCGCCGCCAAGGUCUCCAUCGCCAUCGCGCUCGGCCUCUCCUUCGUCGUCACCUGGACCACGCUCGCCCCGACCUCCUCCUCCCAGCAGAUCUCCACCGAGCGCACCUACUUCGCCGCCGACGUCGCCGACCCGCCCCCUGGAGCGCUGGCGCCCCCCCGCAACGCCACCGCCCGCGCCGUCCACAGGAAGCCCCGCCCCGCCAGCCCCCGCGCCCGCAAGAAGCGCCGCGCCCCGCCUGGAUCCCGCCGCCCCAAUGCCACCCCCUCGCCCGACGCCGCCGCGCUGAGGUCCAACCUCACCGACCCGGACGCGAGGCCCGAGCCGGAACAACCCAACAAGCCAGAGCCGGAGUGGGAGUGGGAGGACGAGCAGGAGCCGGAACUGUCCGUGCCGGAGGACGACGCGGAUGCCACGGGGAAGGCGCCCAAGGAGGAGGAGAACGACGACAAGGCGCCGGCCCUGGAAUGGGCCGACGAAUCCAGCGAGCUGGACGCCGAGGAGGAGGAGGACCCGGAGGCGGCCAAGGGCAAGGCUUCCAAGAAGAAGAAGAAGAAGCUGCCGCCUCUCUUCAGCCCGGCCGCGCAUUACCACUGGAAGCUCUGCAGCGCAAAGAGCGGCCACCACUACACCCCUUGCGUGGAUUUCGAUGGGGAUGGGAGCCAGAAGCACCACGAGCGGAGCUGCCCGAGGUCGCCGGUGACGUGCCUGGUGUCGCUGCCAAAGGAGUACAAGCUGCCUGCUCCAUGGCCGGAGAGGAAGGAGAAGAUUUGGUAUGGGAAUGUUGGACAUCCUAGGUUGUCGAGCUAUGCCAAGGACCACAGCUGGCUGAAUCGGACCGGCGAGCACCUGGUGUUCCCGCCGGAGGAAUCGGAGUUCAAAGGCGGCGCAAGACAUUAUAUCGACACGAUUGAUGAGAUGGCACCUGAUCUUGAUUGGGGUAAAAAUAUUCGCAUAGCAUUGGACAUUGGAUGCAAAAGUGCUGGAUUUGGAGUUGCUCUACUCGAGAAGGAUGUGAUUACACUAUCAUUAGGCCUUACAAAUGAUCAGACAGACCUUGCACAAGUUGCCCUUGAACGCGGCAUCCCUGCAACAAUUGGCAGUCUGGGAUCAAGAAGAUUACCCUUUCCUAGUGGUUCAUUUGAUAUUAUCCACUGUAGUGAAUGCAACAUACCAUGGCAUUCUAAUGGUGGAAAGCUUCUCAUAGAGAUGAAUAGGAUCCUUCGCCCAGGAGGAUACUUCAUUAUCUCGAGCAGACACGGUGAUCUCGAGAGUGAAGAAGGAAUAUCAGCUUCAAUGGCUUCAGUUUGCUGGAACGUAAUAGCUUACAACAGUGAUGAUGUCAGCGAGCUUGGAGUAAAGAUAUUUCAGCGACCAGCCUCAAAUGAUGAGUAUGACCUGAGAGCAAAAAAAGAUCCUCCAUUUUGCAAGGAAGAGCAAAACAAAGCUACUGCAUGGUAUACUCCAAUCAAGCAUUGCCUGCACAAAGCUCCUGCUGGUAUCGAAGAAAGAGGCAGUGAGUGGCCUGAGGAGUGGCCCAAGAGGCUCGAGACUUUUCCUGACUGGCUCGGGGACCUGCAGACAAGGGCGUCUGCUGAUCAUAGCCAUUGGAAGGCCGUCGUUGAGAAAUCGUAUCUGGAUGGGUUGGGUAUUAACUGGACAAAUAUCCGAAACGUGCUGGAUAUGAAGGCUGUAUAUGGAGGAUUUGCUGCAGCUUUGUCGUCCGAAAAAGUCUGGGUCAUGAAUGUUGUCCCCGUGCAUGCUCCAGACACCUUACCUGUAAUCUUUGAGCGUGGGCUGGUUGGUGUUUAUCACGACUGGUGCGAACCAUUUAGCACAUACCCAAGGUCGUACGAUCUUCUUCACGCCGACCAUUUGUUCUCACGCUUGAAGAACAGAUGCAAGGAACCUGUUGCGAUCUUGGUCGAGAUGGACCGGAUCCUGAGACCCGGAGGCUGGGCCAUCAUCCGGGAGAAACUCGAGAUUCUCGACCCGUUGGAGGCGAUCCUGAAAUCGCUGCACUGGGAGAUUGUGAUGACCUUCAGGAAGGACAAGGAGGGUAUAAUGUCUGUAAAGAAAACAACAUGGCGACCAUGA
rnacentral:rRNA from 1 species